UAGGGAAUCUUCCACAAUGGACGCAAGUCUGAUGGAGCAACGCCGCGUGAGUGAAGAAGGUUUUCGGAUCGUAAAGCUCUGUUGUUGGUGAAGAAGGAUAGAGGCAGUAACUGGUCUUUAUUUGACGGUAAUCAACCAGAAAGUCACGGCUAACUACGUGCCAGCAGCCGCGGUAAUACGUAGGUGGCAAGCGUUGUCCGGCUUUAUUGGGCGUAAAGCGAGCGCAGGCGGAAUGAUAAGUCUGAUGCGAAAGCCCACGGCUCAACCGUGGAACUGCAUCGGAAACUGUCAUUCUUGAGUGCAGAAGAGGAGAGUGGAAUUCCAUGUGUAGCGGUGGAAUGCGUAGAUAUAUGGAAGAACACCAGUGGCGAAGGCGGCUCUCUGGUCUGCAACUGACGCUGAGGCUCGAAAGCAUGGGUAGCGAACAGG
rnacentral:rRNA from 1 species